rnacentral:rRNA from 1 species
GAUGAACGCUGGCGGCGUGCUUAACACAUGCAAGUCGAACGGAAAGGCCCAAGCUUGCUUGGGUACUCGAGUGGCGAACGGGUGAGUAACACGUGGGUGAUCUGCCCUGCACUUCGGGAUAAGCCUUGGAAACUGGGUCUAAUACCGGAUAGGACCACAUUUUGGAUGGUGUGGUGGAAAGUUUUUCGGUGUGGGAUGAGCUCGCGGCCUAUCAGCUUGUUGGUGGGGUAAUGGCCUACCAAGGCGUCGACGGGUAGCCGGCCUGAGAGGGUGUACGGCCACAUUGGGACUGAGAUACGGCCCAGACACCUACGGGAGGCAGCAGGGGGGAAUAUUGCACAAUGGGCGCAAGCCUGAUGCAGCGACGCCGCGGGGGGGAUGACGGCCUUCGGGUUGGAAACUCCUUUCGCUAGGGACGAAGCGUUAUGUGACGGUACCUGGAGAAGAAGCACCGGCUAACUACGUG